AUGCUCGCUUCAGGAGCACAUAUACUAAAAUUGUAAUGAUACCAAGAUUAGCAUGGCCCCUUUGCUGGAAGAACACACAAAUUCACGAAGCAUUCCAUAUUUUU
ensembl:snRNA U6 U6 spliceosomal RNA